CCUACGGGCGGCUGCAGUAGGGAAUAUUGCUCAAUGGGGGAAACCCUGAAGCAGCAACGCCGCGUGGAGGAUGAAGGUUUUCGGAUUGUAAACUCCUUUUGUUAGAGAAGAUAAUGACGGUAUCUAACGAAUAAGCACCGGCUAACUCCGUGCCAGCAGCCGCGGUAAUACGGAGGGUGCAAGCGUUACUCGGAUGCACUAGGCGUAAAGAGCGCGUAGGCGGGAUAGCAAGUCAGAGGUGAAAUCCUAUGGCUUAACCAUGGAACUGCAUUUGAUACUGUUAUUCUAGAGUAUAGGAGAGGUAGGUGGAAUUCUUGGUGUAGCGGUGAAAUGCGUAGAGAUCAAGAGGAAUACUCAUUGCGAAGGCGACCUGCUAGAACAUAACUGACGCUGAUGCGCGAAAGCGUGGGGAGCAAACAGGAGUAGAUACCCUUGUAGUC
rnacentral:rRNA from 1 species